AUUGAACGCUGGCGGUAUGCCUAACACAUGCAAGUCGAACGGUAACAGAGAGAAGCUUGCUUCUUUGCUGACGAGUGGCGGACGGGUGAGUAACGCGUGGGAAUCUACCCAGUAGUUGGGGAUAGCCCGGAGAAAUCCGGAUUAAAACCGAAUAAUAUCUACGGAUGAAAGGGUGCCUCUUCUUGAAAGCACUUGCUAUUGGAUGAGCCCGCGUUAGAUUAGUUUGUUGGUGGGGUAACGGCCUACCAAGACUGCGAUCUAUAGCUGGUUUGAGAGGAUGAUCAGCCACAUUGGGACUGAGACACGGCCCAGACUCCUACGGGAGGCAGCAGUGGGGAAUAUUGGACAAUGGGCGCAAGCCUGAUCCAGCAAUACCGCGUGUGUGAAGAAGGCCUUCGGGUUGUAAAGCACUUUUAUGUAGGAAGAAGGUGUGUGUGUUAAUAGCACAUGCAUUUGACGGUACUACAAGAAUAAGCACCGGCUAACUCCGUG
rnacentral:rRNA from 1 species